UAUAUCCCUUUCAAGCUGACUCACCUUAUAGAAUGAAUGGAGGUCAUUUCAUAGUAUAUAUACUUGUAUAUCUAUAUACCCAUAAUACGUCACGCUCAUCAAAUCGCUCAAAGGGAAUGAGGAAAUUGCAAUGAACAAGGCUAAUCCGCACUCCACGAUGAUCCUGUCCUCAUAAUCAUCGACUGGGGAGCAAGAAUCAUUAGUAUCGAUUAAACGACACCCAUGACAUAACCCUGGCAAUCAGUCGCCAUGCCGAUGACCAUCGAAGCACAAAGCGUCCGGCUUAAGUAAAUCGCAGCGUUGAAAAUCGAUGCAUGAAUUCGAAAAAAAAGUCAAGAAAAAUAAUCCUUGAAGAAUUAACCUUGAUCUCCCCAUGGUCCCGUACCAUUGUCACUUGGUCUCGUAACAUUUUAGGCUCUGUCAUCGUUUUCACGUCAGUCAGUGUACUUCAGCUGUCACGUCCAAGAAACUGAGGAAAUUAAAGAAAAAUUCAUGCAUGACAACUACAUAAGAUUGGCCGUCUUUUCAUUUUUUUUUUUGUGACUGGCAUUCUGCCAUCGAUGCAAGAAUAGACUGUCCUGCCUUCGCGCACCAGCGAACCUCAAGUGCAUUGCGUAAACUGUAAAAACUAAUGUCAAGGAAACGAAUUGUGAACGCUGUCGAGUUCUAGCUACCUGAACAUUUGGGACCAGCUGAGAGACGACGUGCCUCGAUUCGGUCUCUGUACCAAAAUAGAAUGAAUGUCAGCCUGGCUUACUUAGCGGUUUUAUUCGUCUUCGUAUUUCGCGCAGCCAUUGUGAAUAAAGCGUAAAUUCUUAUUAGGAUCGUAUAUUAUGUAAAAGUCGAUGAUACGGUAUAGUCAUUGUAUUGUGAUGUAGUUAACCUUGUGAUAAGGAACACGUUAAAUUGUCGAGUUAUUAAUCUUUAUGUGGCGAAUGAGAACGGCAAUAACUGUUGUAACCGUGAAAGAAAGUUUUUGUAGGAACAAAAUUGUCUUAAAUCUAUUUGACGUAGCUGUAUUCACGGUAUAUAUGUAAUUUGCGUAUAGUCGAUCAUUAAUUAUCUCUUUAUCAAGGCACAUCAUUGAUUUUCCAACUUCAAUGUUGCUUAUAAAGUUCGGUAUCUCUGCUUGAUAUCGUCAAGGUUGGAAAUCAUUUGCGGUUAUAAAAUAAUACAUGAUUGUAAUACGUUCAAGUUCAGUAAUUCGAAGCUCUCGUGAUAUUCGAGCACGUAGCGACAAAUUGGUUAGCGUUGGCAGUUGGCGAACUUUCGAUGUCUCUUAAAUGUAAUUAUAAAAUCGGUUCGUCAACCGUAGUAUCAAGAAAGAUCACGUGACAAGUGAGGUUAAUGCCUUGACCGAGCGAGUAUACAGUUAAAUGAGUAAAUCCAAAGUCAAGAAAUUAUUUUUUCAAUGACUAAUACACUGGGAGUGUACUUCUUCUCAAUGUUCCUAUGGCGAUCAGCAAUCGAGUGCUUGGUUAGAGUCACGAAUUCACAUGUGAUGUCACAUGAGUAUAUGGUUAGGUGUGUAAAUAAAACUUCACUGAAUUCGCGGUACUUACACAUUUUUACA